rnacentral:snoRNA from 1 species
UGAUAGUAUGUGUACUUUGAUGCCGGCCGUUUGGCUGACAAACCUUGCUUCUAGGAAUAAUAGGUAUAAACAUCCCUCAGAAUAUAUAUCAUCACUGGGACUGCUAGCAGAACAGAAAGGCAAGUGAUAAGUGUUCACAACCUCUGAGCCUUGGGCAAUGAUGAGUCUAGUUGGUAACUUUGAUGCCGGCCAUUUGGCUGACAGACCUUGCUUCUCGGAAUAAUAGGUAUAGGCAUCCCUCAGAAUACAUAUCAUCAUUGGGAUU